GGGAUAACAUUUGGAAACAGAUGCUAAUACCGCAUAAGAUUACAGUACCGCAUGAUACAGUGAUCAAAGGAGCAAUCCGCUGAAAGAUGGGCUCGCGUCCGAUUAGAUAGUUGGUGAGGUAACGGCUCACCAAGUCGACGAUCGGUAGCCGGACUGAGAGGUUGAACGGCCACAUUGGGACUGAGACACGGCCCAGACUCCUACGGGAGGCAGCAGUGGGGAAUAUUGCACAAUGGGCGAAAGCCUGAUGCAGCAACGCCGCGUGAGGGAAGACGGUUUUCGGAUUGUAAACCUCUGUUUUCGGUGACGAAUAAAUGACGGUAACCGAGUAGGAAGCCACGGCUAACUACGUGCCAGCAGCCGCGGUAAUACGUAGGUGGCAAGCGUUAUCCGGAAUUACUGGGUGUAAAGGGAGCGCAGGCGGGAUAGCAAGUCAGUUGUGAAAACUAUGGGCUCAACCCAUAGAUUGCAGUUGAAACUGUUAUUCUUGAGUGGAGUAGAGGCAAGCGGAAUUCCGAGUGUAGCGGUGAAAUGCGUAGAUAUUCGGAGGAACACCAGUGGCGAAGGCGGCUUGCUGGGCUCUAACUGACGCUGAGGCUCGAAAGUGUGGGGAGCAAACAGGAUUAGAUACCCUGGUAGUCCACACUGUAAACGAUGAAAGCGAGGUGUGGGGGGUCUGACCCCCUCCGUGCCGGAG
rnacentral:rRNA from 1 species